UACGAGGGGGCUAGCGUUGUUCGGAAUUACUGGGCGUAAAGCGCACGUAGGCGGCUUUGUAAGUUAGAGGUGAAAGCCCGGGGCUCAACUCCGGAAUUGCCUUUAAGACUGCAUCGCUAGAAUUGUGGAGAGGUAAGUGGAAUUCCGAGUGUAGAGGUGAAAUUCGUAGAUAUUCGGAAGAACACCAGUGGCGAAGGCGACUUACUGGACACAUAUUGACGCUGAGGUGCGAAAGCGUGGGGAGCAAACAGG
rnacentral:rRNA from 1 species